UCUAUCACUGGAGAGCAAACUACAUGUUGAGCACUAAUUUACAUUCGUGUGUGUGUGUGUGUGUGUGUGUGUGUGUGUGUGUGUGUGUGUGUGUGUGUGUGUGUGUGUGUGUGUGUGUGUGUGUGUUGUUCUCCAGGACACUGACAGACCUGCUGAAGCAGCAGGGAGGUGAGGCGAGCACGGUGGAAAACGCCACGGCCAGUUCGCCCAACGGAGGGAGAGCCAACGGCAUAUCGGCCAGGAUGCUGCGCAGCAGGAGUGAACAGUACCAUCUGAAUAACUCAGCUUACGGGCCGUUUGGACAAGGGCUUCCACACCCGCACAGCAACCACAGCACAGUGGGGCUCAACAAAUAUACAUCCCUUAAAGCUGUGGCACACAGUGCAUCCCGUAGCUACUACAAGAGCUUCCCGCUAAUGGACUUCUCCCAGUACCAGCCUGUGGCACCUCCAGCCUUCCAGCCAGUUCCCGUACAGCCUAAAGAGAAGUCAUACAUCCACCAGCCUGUGUCGGCACACCACGACCUCCACGCCCCCCUCUCCAUCUCCAUCCCCUCCAGUCACCUGGAGCAAUCGCGCCUCCCCAAGACCACAACACACCCGCAGCUCUCCAGCUCGGCCUUCAAAGCCUGGGAGCCGACCGGCCGCCACGUCCACAGCUGUAUUCUCCUCAUUUCUCACCCCUUUCGGCCUUUCCCACCCUCUUUCCACGAUGAAGCGCUUUGCAUUCUGUGCCAUCAGGCCAAGCAUACAGGGACAGCAUCCCUGGGGUCACAUUAA
rnacentral:lncRNA from 1 species